rnacentral:rRNA from 1 species
AUGGGAACGCGAAGAACCUUACCAAGGCUUGACAUAUACGAGAACGCUGCAGAAAUGUAGAACUCUUUGGACACUCGUAAACAGGUGGUGCAUGGUUGUCGUCAGCUCGUGUCGUGAGAUGUUGGGUUAAGUCCCGCAACGAGCGCAACCCUCGUUCUAUGUUGCCAGCACGUAAUGGUGGGAACUCAUGGGAUACUGCCGGGGUCAACUCGGAGGAAGGUGGGAUGACGUCAAAUCAUCAUGCCCCUUAUGUCUUGGGCUUCACGCAUGCUACAAUGGCCGGUACAAAGGGCUGCAAUACCGUGAGGUGGAGCGAAUCCCAAAAAGCCGGUCCAGUUCGGAUUGAGGUCUGCAACUCGACCUCAUGAAGUCGGAGUCGCUAGUAAUCGCAGAUCAGCAACGCUGCGGUGAAUACGUUCCCGGGUCUUGUACACACCG